UUUUUAUUCUUUUCCCAUAUUUUUUUUUUUUUUUUUUUAAACAAUUAACCAACAAUUAUUUCUAUUAGAUCA
rnacentral:ribozyme from 13 species